rnacentral:rRNA from 1 species
UACGAAGGGGGCUAGCGUUGCUCGGAAUCACUGGGCGUAAAGCGCACGUAGGCGGCUUUUUAAGUCAGGGGUGAAAUCCUGGAGCUCAACUCCAGAACUGCCUUUGAUACUGAGAAGCUUGAGUCCGGGAGAGGUGAGUGGAACUGCGAGUGUAGAGGUGAAAUUCGUAGAGAUCGGAAAGAACACCAACGGCGAAAGCACUCUGCUGGGCCGACACUGACACUGAGAGACGAAAGCUAGGGGAGCGAAUGGG